GGAUUAGAAACCCGGGUAGUCCACGCCGUAAACGAUGGAUGCUAGCUGUAUUCGGUAUCGACCCCGGAUGUAGCGAAGCUAACGCGUUAAGCAUCCCGCCUGUGGAGUACGGUCGCAAGACUAAAACAUAAAGGAAUUGACGGGGACCCGCACAAGCGGUGGAGCGUGUUGUUUAAUUCGAUGAUAAGCGAAGAACCUUACCCAGGCUUGACAUCCUUGGAAGCUCUACGAAAGUAGAGUGUGCUUUAUUGAGCCAAGUGACAGGUGAUGCAUGGCCGUCGUCAGCUCGUGUCGUGAGAUGUUUGGUUAAGUCCAUCAACGAGCGCAACCCUUGUGAUUAGUUGAAUUUUUCUAAUCAGACUGCCCUGGCAACAGGGAGGAAGGGGGGGAUGAU
rnacentral:rRNA from 1 species